CAGCUUCAUCUUAGAGAAACAAAGUGAGAAAAAAGGAAGAAAAGUCCAGCGCAGCCCGGUUUUACGCACUGCUAAGAUCCGUGGGUCUUCCAGCACGUGGGCCUGGGCACCACCACAGCUCUGGCCGUCGUAGAAGGAGGGAUCCAUCCAGCGCAGAAUAAAAGGAUGAAAGGUGUGAGGAAAACAUUAGCACCACAUACAAGAGAUGAGUGCCAUAUUAAAUAAAAUAACCUUUUUGGUGUCUGAACUCUGGUACCAGAGUGCCUUCAUGAUCUAGGGAUGUAACAUCAUUACUGUGCUGUAAACAGGAUCGAGGCGAAUGUCCUCCCUCUAUCCAGGGCAGGUUGUCAUGCAGGAACCAAGGGAAGGUAUGCUCUGUCCCCUGUACGAUCACCCUGCAGAGAUCCCAGAUGGGCGCAGUGUCAGCUGAAGUCACUCUCUGCUCUGUAACCUCUUUCUGAAGACUGGAGGAUACUGGCUCAAAAGCCAGGAGCCUUCUGUGAAACUGCUUGGGAGUCUGGGGGUGGCUGGGAGAGAAGAGUGGCUUUUCUUCAGACCUUAAAGUAAUAAAAGUUUUCUAUCUUUCUCUAGAAUUACACUUACUGUUUAAACAUUUACAAUUCUGCAGUGCACAUACCUCUGACGUCUUACAAACACAUGGAAAUACUGUAGUCUGUGUUUUCUAUAAGCUUUCAGAAAAUUGACUGUUUCAAGUCCUUACUGCUGGAAUAAUAUAACAGUAGUGCUGCAAAAGUGGGAAGGUAAGCUGCCCAGCAGAAGAUACAGUAGCCAAAACUCUUAUCUCAAGACCCAUUGCUUGGAGAUUUGCAUCAACUUCCCUUAGUCAAUAAUGAGUCUUAUUUAUAAAUUCACAUACAAUACAGAAAGGAAGAAGCUUGUUGCACUAUUGUGGAGAUCAAAGUUUCAAUGUUUUUUUCUCCUUCUCCUGUUUAGAGAACUGAAGUUGGUUUGCAUGUCUCUGUAUCCCUCUCCUUAUUGCUGAGACCAGCAUGGUUGAUAGCCUUGGGCAUUUUUUUAAAGCUGUUUCUAAAAAUAAACAUUUUGCAAAAAUUCCCAGAAUGCAGGUGCUCAACUUAAUUUAGCCAGAGCCGUACUAUUUGUUAGCAGGCUGUUCCUUUAUAGGGAGUUUUAAGUUCCAAUUCAAUGUAUCAUAAAUUAAUACAUAAUGAAAAACCUCUUCUAUGGUCAAGGGUGGAAUCCCUGCCUUACUGAGGCCUGUACAAACAAAACCUCUAUUGAUUUAGUUCAAUAAAAUUACCCCAAAUCUCCUGCUUCUUUUUAAAGAACCAUUCUAUCAUUGAAAAAAUAUUAAUAAAAUUACAUAUGCUAAUCAAAACA